GACGAACGCUGGCGGCGUGCUUAACACAUGCAAGUCGAGCGGUAAGGCCCUUUCGGGGGUACGACGAGCGGCGAACGGGUGAGUAACACGUGGGUGGACCUGCCCUCCAGCUCUGGGAGUAAGCCUGGGAAACCGGGUACGUAAUACCGGAUAUGACUCCAUGACGCAUGUUGUGGGGUGGAAAGCCUUGUGCGGCUGAGGAUGGGCCCGCGGCCUAUCAGCUUGUUGGUGGGGUGGAUGGCCUACCAAGGCGACGACGGGUAGCCGGCCUGAGAGGGCGACCGG
rnacentral:rRNA from 1 species